AUGCUUCUGCACAUCGUUUCUCUGAUUCAUUUGAUAUUCGAACGUGAUCAGUUACAGUCGCUGGACUGCGUGGAAUCAAAUCUCUGUCAUUUAAACACAGACUUAAGCCAUUCAAGAGCGAUGAAAGGACCAGAAGUGGUCGACUCGAGAAGUCGUUUUCGAUUUAUUGAGUCCUGUCUCGGCUUGAUGGGCUGUUUGUGUAUCAGCUAUGCGAUUUGGACACCUCGGUGGCUGGAUGACCGGGGUCUGUGGACCUCGGGGAAUGAGUCCAGACUGGAUGACAGCUGGACCACUGAAGACAUUGCUAAAGCUCUGGAGGCUGAGAGAGUGUUUGCAGUGGUGGCUUUCCUGAUGUCGGUGAGCUCUGGACUGCUGUGUCUCAUGUUUGCUCUCUGCUGGACAUCUCAAACGGUGCGUUCCUACUCCAACACUCGCUCGCUGCUGAUGGCAGGCCAGGUGCUUGAUCCGACCACCCUGCUGCUGUUCACACUAGUACCUACAGGGUUUUUCUUUUUUCUCAGCUGGGCGCUUUUUACACAUGAACAUAUUGGUGAGAUCAGGGAUGAUGUCAGUCGACUCGGUCCGUCCUAUUGGCUGGGAGUGUUGGGUUGGGCUUCUCUAUUGGCCGUGCUGCCUGUGGUCUUCCUGGCAGAGAAGUUUGUGGUUCCCGACAUCCUGCCGGAGUUAAAAAAUGCUGCCGAAAUGUGGUGGAAGGCUCCUGAGGUUGCACACGCACGAUCGUUAAGUGAGGGUUGCUAUCGUUCACAGCAUAAGUCUCAUCCUGACUUCAGGAGGUAUUUGUCAGUGCCUUGAACAAGUGGAAGAAGGUAGCAAGGAAAUACAGAGAAGAGACUCUAGUCUCGCUGGUCUUCUAGCCAAAUAUAUGAGCUGAGCAUGUGCCUCACAACAGGAGUGAAGGACCUGGAUGAGAAACCUGUAACUGCUCUCUGCGAUGUUAGACACAAAGCUACAGAUUAUAAUGUUCAGUGUAUUCAGAUGUACUUGGAAGAGGAUGCCCAAAAAUGUGGUUAAUGGACUACUAGGGUUCACUAUCUAAGUGUGAAAUAUAAAGCUGAAAGGAUCUUGAAGUUGCAGAGAGGCUAUUCCUCUAGAACUUGUCAUAGUCGUUGUCUGCAGCUGUUAUUGUGUGAAUUAUAUACAGUCACUUUCAGGGAUGCAGACUUAAAUGCUUUUCAAAAUGCAUUUUAAAUAUGCUAAUUAUUAACUAAAACAACAACAACAAAAAACACUAAAAUAGUUUAUAACUGAUUGGGUAAAAUAUAAUAAAAUUACUAAUAAUGGAAACGGGUAGUACUUAACUAAUGCUUCAAACGCAAUCAUUAGUGCCAUAUACAAGACAUUAAAAUGUUUUUUUUUUUUUUUUUUUUUUUAAGUUAUUGAAACAUGUUCUUGUAUAGAAAAACAAUUAACUUCUAAGAUCCACUUGACCUUUCCCCUAAAAGUGGUGAUCAUUGAAUUCCAGAUUGUUCUGCUUGUUCUCAAUCUUCCAGACAAUACUGAGUCAAUUAGUCAGAGCACUUUUAUACUACUAACACUUAGUGUAAUAGGGACUUCCAGCUGCUUAAGCAGAAUUCAACACUACUAGGUAGUGCUCCAGUUGUUGUUUUUUUUCUAUCCGUCUUUUUUUAAGUGCAAGCAGUGCUCUCUACUGGCGAUAGUGCAAAGAGCAUCAUGUUCUAUCCUGUAUUUUUAAAGCUAUUUAAAUAAACCUUUUUGUACUGUUUUAAACCAAUAAAUGAAAUGGUUUUCAUAUAAAGUUGAGUCUCUAUCUAUCUAUCUAUCUAUCUAUCUAUCUAUCUAUCUAUCUAUCUAUCUAUCUAUCUAUCUAUCUGAGACCAUAUUGGAGGAAUGUUUUGAAAAUUACUUUGUUUUUAUUGUUUGUUUUUCAUUUUCAUCUUUCAGUAAUUUUGUUGUUUUGUCUUUAUUAAAUAUAUAAUAGAUGUGUAAAAUAUUAUUUUUAUUAUUUUAUUAGUGUUCCUGUGGCUCAAAUGGUAGAGCAAUGCAUUAGCAGCGCAAGGUUGUGGGUUUGAUUCCCAGGGAACACAUGUCAGGUAAAAAAAAAAAAUGUUAGCCUGAAUGCACUAAGUCUCAUUGGAUAAAAGCAUCUGCUAAAUGCAUAAAAUAAUCAUUUAAGUUUCUGUUUUAGUACUUUUUUUUUUUUUUUUUAGUUUGGCAUGGAUGGCAUCAUUUCUAUUUUUAAUUUCCAUGUAUUUUAUUACUUGAAAAAAAUAUAUUUUAUUGCAACUACUUAAAAUGAUGUUUUAAGUGCAG
rnacentral:lncRNA from 1 species